CAAGAUGAUUUUUACAACACUUAGAACACAAAGGAUAGUUAGGUUUUCUACUCAUACUAUUCUGAGACCUGGACAUAGAAGUCUUACCUCAUUGUUCCUGUCGAGACCUAGGGGCGGGAGCACUAGCUGAAGACAGCACUGGCAUAGAUGAAUGAAUAUGAAACUACAAAUGAUUUACCCCUCCAAACUUAGCUUGUCCAUAAUCAAACUCCUUGAUUCUAGCCUUCUUAUUUCCCCUCUUGCUCCCUUUUAAAUUUUCUACCUCAAUCUAUUGAGCAUGAAUUAUCAGUCUAGAAAGAUCCAUAUCCCC
rnacentral:lncRNA from 1 species